rnacentral:rRNA from 1 species
UUCGCAAUGCCCGAAAGGGUGACGAAGCGACGCCGCGUGCGGGAAGAAGGCCUUCGGGUUGUAAACCGCUGUCGGGAGUUAAGAAAUGUAAGGAUGUUAAUAGCAUCUUUGCUUGACUAAGGCUCCGGAGGAAGCCACGGCUAACUCUGUGCCAGCAGCCGCGGUAAUACAGAGGCGGCAAGCGUUGUUCGGAAUUAUUGGGCGUAAAGAGCACGUAGGCGGCUAUGUAAGUCGGUUGUGAAAGCCUUCCGCUCAACGGGAGAACAGCAUCCGAUACUGCAUGGCUUGAGUGCGGGAGGGGAGAGUAGAACUUCUGGUGGAGCGGUGAAAUGCGUAGAUAUCAGAAGGAACGCCGGCGGCGAAAGCGACUCUCUGGCCCGUAACUGACGCUGAGUGUGCGAAAGCUAGGGGAGCAAACGGGAUUAGAUACCCCGGUAGUCCUAGCCGUAAACGAUGGGCACUAAGUAGAGGGGUUUU